GGCUGAAGGAAGGGAAGGUGGUGGCGCAGCUGGAGGACUAGGUGUAAUACGGUCCCAGAAAAACUACAGGACGGACUAACCCUGCUUAUUCCUGUGAAUCAAGAGGUGAUCUUCUGCAGCUUGGAAAAAAAAAAAAGCGAUGGAAUCUCCCUCUGUUGCCCAGGCUGGAGUACAGUGGUGCGAUCUUGGCCUACUUCAACCUCUGCCUCCCGGGUUCAGCGAUUCUCGUGC